CUAAUACCGGAUACGAAGAUAGCACCGCAUGGUGUAUUUUGUAAAGAUGGCCUCUAUUUAUAAGCUAUCGCCGGGGGAUGGGCCUGCGUCCGAUUAGCUGGUUGGUGGGGUAACGGCCUACCAAGGCGACGAUCGGUAGCCGGUCUGAGAGGAUGAACGGCCACAUUGGGACUGAGACACGGCCCAGACUCCUACGGGAGGCAGCAGUGGGGAAUCUUCCGCAAUGGGCGAAAGCCUGACGGAGCAACGCCGCGUGGGUGAGGAAGUUCUUCGGAACGUAAAGCCCUGUUGUACAUGACGAACGUGUAUCCUAUCAACAACGGGAUGCAAUGACGGUAGUGUACGAGGAAGCCACGGCUAACUACGUGCC
rnacentral:rRNA from 1 species